GACGAACGCUGGCGGCGUGCUUAACACAUGCAAGUCGAACGGAAAGGCCCUGCUUUUGUGGGGUGCUCGAGUGGCGAACGGGUGAGUAACACGUGAGUAACCUGCUCUUGACUUUGGGAUAACUUCAGGAAACUGGGGCUAAUACCGGAUAGGAGCUCCUGCUGCAUGGAGGGGGUUGGAACGUUUCGGCGGGUGGGGAUGGACUCGCGGCUUAUCGGCUUGUUGGUGGGGUAGUGGCUUACCGAGGCAUUGACGGGUAGGCGGCCUGUGAGGGUGGACGGCCUCCAGGGGACUGCGAGAGGCAGCAGACUCCUACGGUAGACAGCGGGCGGAAACAUGGCACAACGGGCGGGCGCGUGUGGAAGCAACCCUGGGUUCGUGAUGACGGCUUGUGGGUUGUGAACCGCUUCAGCCUGUGACGAAGCGUGAGUGACGGUAAUGGGUAAAGAAGCACCGGCUAACUACGUG
rnacentral:rRNA from 1 species